CUCAGUUGCAGGUCAGAAUCCCGCGACUCGUGGGAGGGAGCCUCGCCCUCCCACGCCGGCGGCUGCGCGUGCUCCCCGCCGCCCGAUGCCCCCGUCCCCCUCCUGCGGCAGCGGAAAGAGGAAAAGUGAGUCAUGGAGUCGGUGGGGAGAGCCCACCGACGCGCCCUAAGUAGGAGGAGGCACUUCGGGAGGGAGGAUCCUCUGCUCUAGAUCUAAACAAUGGCGACGCAGUGGAGAGGACGGGGCUCGCUUUGGCACUUUCUCGAGCAUCAUGUGGGCGCGCAACGCGACAGCGCACGAUCCAUCCAUCUGUAAGUCCCCCUAAUCUAAGCAGAACAGUCCCAUCUGAUCACAUCUCAUACAUGUCGGAGGGCGAUUUGUUUUCCAAAAUCCCUCGCAGGUUUCGGAUUAAUCUAAGCUCAAGCCUGUGGAUUCACGUGUACGGCACUCAACGAAAACGACGAGGCACGGGGAGCCGCCACCUCGGCCGCCAAGGGUCAAUCACACCCUGCCGACGACGCAGAAGCCCCCGGGACUGUACAUUUGCCCUCGGGUUGGAAAGUUGCACGAGCCGGUGGUGCAAUCGCAGGGUUGCCGAGGCGGCGUCGUAGAUCUGGUACUCUCCGACCCUCCCUCCCUUGACCCUCAAUGGUGAAUAACCCAACUGUCCCUUCAAAUUCAAAUUUGGAGCAUUAAAGCUUUGUCAGAGAAGAAGUGCGGUAGUUAUUGCACUCAGAUUUAAUGACAUCCAUGGCGGGACGGCGUAAAAUCUCUCUCAUUUCACAGAAUAUCUCAUGUUACCACCGUGUUCGUCACUGACCUCUCUUUCCUGCCCACCUUUCGUCAUCCUCCCCCUCGAUCAAGAACGCAGUCCGGUGUGUUCCCGGGGAAGCGAUGGUAGAGAUUUACGGACUCAUCAAUGCUCCGGAGAAGGAUCACGGCUGAUCACGCAGGGCUCAGCUGUGAUCUAUGCUCCACAUGACAGAAGGUGGGCCAUGUUUUCUUUCCAUUUUUUGUUCUUCCGGCAUUUGGGCCGGCCACAGGGUCACGUUGCAGGUGUGGCUGGCUCUGUCGGUGGUCUGUCCGCCAUGAGAAUUCUCAGGGCCUCACCGCUUUGGGAUUCAAAAGACGUGCACUGCUCGUUACAGCACCGUCGGCUAGAGUCGCUGCCCAUCCUGAGGAAGUUGCUGUAUGCCACCUCCUUUCUCACGCGUUCGAAUUGUGCUUCAUCUGCGCAGGUUUCCUGCUUCGCUUGCGGAAACUGAAGCUGAGAGAUCUUCUGUCCAGCAUAUUCUCCACCUCCUCGAUCGGCAGCCCCUUGGUUUCCGGCACGCAGACGAGCA
rnacentral:lncRNA from 1 species